GUGCCAGCAGCCGCGGUAAUACGUAAGAGGCAAGCGUUGUCCGGAAUCACUGGGCGUGAAGGGUGCGCAGGCGGUCUAGUAAGUCAAGAGUGAAAUCCAUCGGCUCAACCGGUGAACUGCUUUUGAAACUACUAGACUUGAGAAUAGGAGAAGAGAGUGGAAUUCCUGGUGUAGUGGUGAAAUACGUAGAUAUCAGGAAGAAUACCAAUGGCGAAAGCAGCUCUCUAGCCUAAUUCUGACGCUGAGGUACGAAAGCUAGGGUAUCAAACGGGAUUAGAAACCCGAGUAGUCC
rnacentral:rRNA from 1 species